UACGUAGGUGGCAAGCGUUGUCCGGAUUUAUUGGGCGUAAAGAGCGUGUAGGCGGCCAGGUAGGUCUGCUGUGAAAACUCGAGGCUUAACCUCGAGAUGUCGGCGGAAACCAUCUGGCUAGAGUCCGGAAGAGGAGAAUGGAAUUCCCGGUGUAGCGGUGAAAUGCGCAGAUAUCGGGAAGAACACCCGUGGCGAAGGCGGUUCUCUGGGACGGUACUGACGCUGAGACGCGAAAGCGUGGGGAGCGAACAGG
rnacentral:rRNA from 1 species